UUUAAAUGAGGACUAGUAUCAACGGCAUCACGAGGAUCCUACUGUCUCCCCCCUCUAAUCAGUGAAACUGAUCUCCCCGUGAAGAAGCGGGGAUAUACAUAUAAGACGAGAAGACCCCAUGGAGCUUUAAACCUGACAGCACCCGCUCAUUCUAUACCCCAUUAUUUGCCCGACCCCUGUCUGCUCAGUUUUAGGUUGGGGUGACCACGGAGUAUAAAAUAACCUCCAUGAAGAAGGGGAUAUUUCCCUUAUUAGAGAACCACACUUCCAAGAACUAAUAAAUUAAUUUUCAAUGACCCGAUACCCGAUAAUCGAUCAACGAACCAAGUUACCCUGGGGAUAA
rnacentral:rRNA from 1 species